GUUAAAACUUUCAACAACGGAUCUCUUGGUUCUGGCAUCGAUGAAGAACGCAGCGAAAUGCGAUAAGUAAUGUGAAUUGCAGAAUUCAGUGAAUCAUCGAAUCUUUGAACGCACAUUGCGCCCUCUGGUAUUCCGGAGGGCAUGCCUGUUCGAG
rnacentral:rRNA from 1 species